GGACCUAGGGCUGAGGGUUACAUAAAAGCCCAGCGAAGCUCUGGGCCCAGCACCCCUAAGACCUGCCACCUGCCUCCACACCUUCGAGAGCCUCCUGCACUCCCCACUGGCACCAUGCUCAGGACGGCCCUGGUCCUCUCUGCUUGGUUCGGUCUGGCUGUGACUUACCCCAUCGCAUUCCAGGAAUUCAUACACAUUAUCAAUGACCCGGUGCUAUCUGCCGACCCAGAGCCAGUGGUUGUCCUGGAGCCUGAAGAGCCGGCUGUUGUCAUAGAGCCGCUCACUGGUGGAGAGCUGGUCAUUAACCUAGAGCCAAGUGAGGAACUAGAUUUAACCGCUGACCUAGAGUCCACCACAGACCUGGAGUCGACCACAGACCUAGAGUCGGCCACUGACCUAGAGUUGACCACAGACCUAGAGUCGGCCACUGACGUAGAGUUCUUUCGUGGUGGAGAAUUGACUACUGAAGCGUAUUUGAAGAACACACAGGCUUUUGAAUUGUCUACUGCUGUGGAAUCAAGCACCCUCAGCUUUGAGAAAGAAGCCACUGAGGCCACAGUUGACUACAAUUCAGUUCAGCCAGAGAGCUUUGCCAACAAAGAUUAUGAAGUUGUCACUGCUGCUUAUUUCGAUGAGCCCAUCCUUGUAGCAUCAGAUGAGCCCAUCACCUCAUUUGGAAACGACGAGUCCGUCUCAGUGCUUUUUUGAGGAUAUUUUCAUUGUGGAAAACUUGGAUAAAUAAAAACAUCUGGAGAAAAUACA
rnacentral:lncRNA from 1 species